rnacentral:pre_miRNA from 1 species
UAUAAAUGAUGAUGAUGAUGAUGAUGGUGAGCACAAAGGAUGAAGAACGAUCACCGUACUUUAGUCAUCAUCAUCAUCAUCAACUAUU